AAAGGGUUAGGGUUUAUCGAGAGAGGGAAGAAGAUGAAUUAAUUUUGCAGAGUUUCUCUCUGCUCACAAACUGUGAUUCUUUAUUCCUUUUGCAACGGCAAAAUUUAAGUUGUUUAUAAUAAUAAGGGUUACUCCCUAUUUAUAGAUUUUGGGCUUGCUUGUUUCUCAAGCAAGACCCAAAACUAACCUAAUUAACUCAGCUAAAUAAAACAAAUAAAGGCAAGUCUAACAUCACUAUCGAGAUACUCUUC
rnacentral:lncRNA from 1 species